UACGUAGGGUGCAAGCGUUGUCCGGAAUUAUUGGGCGUAAAGAGCUCGUAGGUGGCCUGUCGCGUCGGCUGUGAAAACUCGGGGCUCAACUCCGAGCUUGCAGUCGAUACGGGCAGGCUAGAGUUCGGCAGGGGAGACUGGAAUUCCUGGUGUAGCGGUGAAAUGCGCAGAUAUCAGGAGGAACGCCGGUGGCGAAGGCGGGUCUCUGGGCCGAUACUGACACUGAGGAGCGAAAGCGUGGGGAGCGAACAGG
rnacentral:rRNA from 1 species